rnacentral:rRNA from 1 species
GACGAACGCUGGCGGCGUGCUUAACACAUGCAAGUCGAGCGGUAAGGCCCUUUCGGGGGUACACGAGCGGCGAACGGGUGAGUAACACGUGGGUGACCUGCCCUCAGCUCUGGGAUAAGCCUGGGAAACCGGGUCUAAUACUGGAUAUGACUCCAUGACGCAUGUUGUGGGGUGGAAAGCCUUGUGCGGCUGAGGAUGGGCCCGCGGCCUAUCAGCUUGUUGGUGGGGUGANGGCCUACCAAGGCGACGACGGGUAGCCGGCCUGAGAGGGCGACCGGCCACACUGGGACUGAGACACGGCCCAGACUCCUACGGGAGGCAGCAGUGGGGAAUCUUGCGCAAUGGGCGAAAGCCUGACGCAGCGACGCCGCGUGAGGGAUGACGGCCUGGUGUAACGUACUU